rnacentral:lncRNA from 1 species
GGUUUCUCCGUGUUUCCAUUUACUUCCCUUUUACACCUUGCACACAGGACGUUUUCGUCCUUUUUUGGUUCUUUUCCUUUGAUACGUUCAAAGACACUGGGAUGUGGCUUGGGAUCUUCUUCUCCGUCAUCUAUGACUAACUUGAAUUUUGGUAACUUGUUCUUGAAUCCAGAUGUUACCAUGUUUACCCCAAGUGGCUGUGGGAAAGGAUUCUCGUCCACUGCCAUCUUUCUCUUAUCGUCGAACGUAAUUCGUCCUGACUCAAUAGCAUCCUGCAAUACGUGACGAAAAACCAAGCAAUUGUUAGUCAAAUGUGACCAUGCAUUAUGCCACUUACAAUAUUUUUUACCCUUUAUUUGUUCAGGGUUUGGCAAUUUGUGCUUAUCGCUCAGCUUUAUUUGCUUAUCCCUAUAUAACUUAUCGAAUAUAAGGUCAGCUUUGGUCACAUCGAACGAGAACGCUCUAGCCUUUAUGUUUCCAUCCUUUAUGGGCUCAUCUUUGCCCGAUGGUUUAGGCUUGGCCAUUAUGGGACAAGUAUAUGUAUCCCCUUUUACUAAUUCGGCCAAACACAUUUCGGCCUGAUCGUACGAUUCGUCAUCGAUGGUAUGAACGUCAAAAUUUGGGUCUCUGUAAUAAGUCCCUUUGCUAGAAUUUUUCAUUUGUCCUUCUUCUCUUAUCAAUCGCUCAUACCUAAUGACAUUCGCACUCAACUGGAAAAGGUCGGGAAAUUCCUUGUCUUGGAACUUCUUUUUUAAAUCAAAGCUCAAGCAACCUUGUGCGAUCUUGACAAAUUCUUUU